GACGAACGCUGGCGGCAUGCUUAACACAUGCAAGUCGAACGAGAAUCAAUGGAUCAAGGAUUCGUCCAAGUGAAGUUGAGGACAGUGGCGGACGGGUGAGUAACGCGUGAGGAACCUGCCUUUCAGAGGGGGACAACAGUUGGAAACGACUGCUAAUACCGCAUAACGUAUCGAGAGGGCAUCCUUUUGAUACCAAAGCUUUAUGUGCUGAAAGAUGGUCUCGCGUCUGAUUAGCUAGUUGGUGAGGUAACGGCUCACCAAGGCGACGAUCAGUAGCCGGUCUGAGAGGAUGAACGGCCACAUUGGGACUGAGAUACGGCCCAGACUCCUACGGGAGGCAGCAGUGGGGAAUAUUGGGCAAUGGGGGAAACCCUGACCCAGCAACGCCGCGUGAAGGAAGAAGGCCUUCGGGUUGUAAACUUCUUUUACCAGGGACGAACACAAUGACGGUACCUGGAGAAAAAGCAACGGCUAACUACGUG
rnacentral:rRNA from 1 species